AGCAGCCGCGGUAAUUCCAGCUCCAAUAGCGUAUAUUAAAGUUGUUGCAGUUAAAAAGCUCGUAGUUGAAUUUCGGGAUCAGUACGUUGGUCGUGCCUUCGGUACGUACUGGCGUUACUGGUUCCUACCUUCUGAGGAACCGUCAUGUCAUUAAUUUGGUGUGGUGGGAAAUCAGGACUGUUACUUUGAAAAAAUUAGAGUAGUUUAAAGCAGGCUCGCGCUUGAAUACAUUAGCAUGGAAUAAUGAAAUAGGACGUUCGAUCCUAUUUUGUUGGUUUCUAGGAUUGACGUAAUGAUUAAUAGGGAUAGUUGGGGGCAUUAGUAUUCAAUUGUCAGAGGUGAAAUUCUUGGAUUUAUUGAAGACUAACUACUGCGAAAGCAUUUGCCAAGGAUGUUUUCAUUAAUCAAGAACGAAAGUUAGGGGAUCGAAGACGAUCAGAUACCGUCGUAGUCUUAACCAUAAACUAUGCCGACUAGGGAUCGGAUGAUGUUAUUUUUAAUGACUCAUUCGGCGCCUUAC
rnacentral:rRNA from 1 species